UAUUGAUGAUGUGGACAGUCUCUAAGAAGUUCCUUAAAGUGCUCCCAAGCAUGGUAUAGAUUCUCACCUGGCUUCUGUUUGAAUCACACAAUCUCACUUUGGAGUCU
rfam:Capsicum annuum cultivar Zunla-1 chromosome 5, whole genome shotgun sequence